AUUGAACGCUGGCGGCAGGCCUAACACAUGCAAGUCGAGCGGAUGAAGGGAGCUUGCUCCUGGAUUCAGCGGCGGACGGACGAGUAAUGCCUAGGAAUCUGCCUGGUAGUUGGGGAUAACGUCCCGAAACGGGCGCUAAUACCGCAUACGUCCUGAGGGAGAAAGGGGGGGAUCUUCGGACCUCACGCUAUCAGAUGAGCCUAGGUCGGAUUAGCUAGUUGGUUGGGUAAAGGCCUACCAAGGCGACGAUCCGUAACUGGUCUGAGAGGAUGAUCAGUCACACUGGAACUGAGACACGGUCCAGACUCCUACGGGAGGCAGCAGUGGGGAAUAUUGGACAAUGGGCGAAAGCCUGAUGCAGCAAUGCCGCGUGAGUGAAGAAGGUCUUCGGAUUGUAAAACUCUUUAAGUUGGGAGGAAGGACAGUAAGUUAAUCUCUUGCUGUUUUGACGUUACCAACAGAGUAAGCACCGGCUAACUUCGUG
rnacentral:rRNA from 1 species